GAACCGAAAGCUCUACCUUUCUUUCUCUCUGGGAGUGAGUGAGUGAGUGAGUUGAGGGUGGGGGUUCCGAGGCAUUUGGAAUCUUUGGAUACUGUGCAGCACCAGCGACCAGCGUGCGUGUCGAGCCCGUGCUCUUUCUGCUUUGCUUUGCUUUCGCGGUACUAGGCACGAGAAGGAAUGUUUUCAACCUUGAACCAUCCCAUAGAUGCCAAGCAGGGCAUGCCAUUGAUGAUGGUGGAGGCGUAAUUUGUUUUCGGGGGUUGCCGUCCUUGCACAAUGCAACAACAUUGCUAUUUGGGCUUCCAAAAAUACCCCAUUGCAUGGUCUGGCCGGGCCUCAAUGAAUUGAAAGACUUGAUUGUUCGCUAGCUAGCCCACCGAAUUUGACUCCAAACCGGUAUGCUCCCAAAUCCGAUCGGGACUAGAGCUUCAACAAAAGUACAAAACAAUGUACAAAUUACUCUCUCAAACAAUGUACAAAUAUUUCUCAGGAAAAAAAACAAUCUACAAAUCGCACCCAAAUCCGAUCAUGGCCGACGUGGAGAACCCUGGGCUCUUUUUCUUCCUCGUGGGUGACUGGGACGCCGGGAACCCAGAGGGAACGAGGAUCGUAGACAGCUUGUUGCAAUGUAGCCCCCUUACUUGAUCUCUCCGGCCGGGACCUCACAACGUGGUCCGUCUACUUAGUUCCAUCUUACGUGCUUUCACGAAGAAGACGAGGGGAUGAGUGAGGAAAUAAAAAGAAAAAUGCAAAGGGUUCGACAGAAAAGACGAAGCGCCCGACACCUGUGGUUCUGCGAAGAAAUUUUGCAGAAAUGUUGCCUUGUGAAAAGACUGCCUCAAAAACUGCUUUUCUAUGAAAUGUAAACCAGCAAUACGUCGAGAUAUGUUAGCCCCGAACGCGCGUACCACACAGCCAAAAACAGUUCUCUUGUUCCAUUUGUGUAUAUACAAAUAAUUUGAUCUAUCAUCUAAUUAACCCUAGUCAACGCAAGUCCACACG